CCUACGGGAGGCAGCAGGGGGGAAUUUUGGACAAUGGGCGAAAGCCUGAUCCAGCAAUGCCGCGUGAGUGAAGAAGGCCUUCGGGUUGUAAAGCUCUUUUGUCAGGGAAGAAACGGUGAAAGCUAAUAUCUUUUGCUAAUGACGGUACCUGAAGAAUAAGCACCGGCUAACUACGUGCCAGCAGCCGCGGUAAUACGUAGGGUGCAAGCGUUAAUCGGAAUUACUGGGCGUAAAGCGUGCGCAGGCGGUUUUGUAAGUCUGAUGUGAAAUCCCCGGGCUCAACCUGGGAAUUGCAUUGGAGACUGCAAGGCUAGAAUCUGGCAGAGGGGGGUAGAAUUCCACGUGUAGCAGUGAAAUGCGUAGAUAUGUGGAGGAACACCGAUGGCGAAGGCAGCCCCCUGGGUCAAGAUUGACGCUCAUGCACGAAAGCGUGGGGAGCAAACAGGAUUAGAUACCCUGGUAGUCCACGCCCUAAACGAUGUCUACUAGUUGUCGGGUCUUAAUUGACUUGGUAACGCAGCUAACGCGUGAAGUAGACCGCCUGGGGAGUACGGUCGCAAGNUUAAAACGUUAAGGAAUUGACGGCNGAGAGNGCGACGACGACGACGAGGAGGAGG
rnacentral:rRNA from 1 species